UUGCUAAAACCACUCUUCAGCCAUCUUGGAACUCUACUGUGCUUUGUUUGUAAACAAAACACAAUACACUAGUGCCGAAGCUCGCUCGUGAUCAGUCUGUCUCUUUCACGCUACAAGCAAAUAAUUCCCUUUCUGCUUUCUUCCGUACUGUUUUCAUAUACCGCUCCCCUAACCAACUUAGUGACGAAACGGCCUCACCUAGUACCAUAGACCCGUCUUGGGAUCAUACAACUGCUAUGAAUACAUUCGACUCGUUUGCUUCCAUCAAUCGGUAAGUGAGAAAGAUGAUUUUUCCCAUCACCACAGUGCGGAUUUCCACUUCUAUCACAGCAGCCAACAACAUCCGUUUUCCUGCAGCAGUAACCUCCAACCCCUGUUGGCAAUGCCGGGGGACAGCAUCAACAGCAGCAGCAGCAGAAUUUGACCAUGGUAUGGUUUGCGAAGAACUUUCCCCAUUAGAGGUUCCGUGCUUCGCGCACAUUCAAAAAUCCUCUUCAGACACGAAAACUCAACGACAAGGAGGUAGUUAUCAACUUGCUCAGCUGAAUUACCACCCCGGAGGAACCCGAAUGCACUGAUUCCGUAGUAUAGUAGAAUGAAAAUAGGCGAGGUUAGCGAACGUAAUCGCAUGAUAUUUUAAUGUUCGCAUUUUUAUCCGGAUUAUACAACUGCUAUGAAUACAUCCGACUCAAUCAAUCGGCGAGUGAGAAAGAUGAUUUCCCUCAUCACCACAUUGCUUAUUUCCACUUCUGUCACACCAGCCAACAGCAUCAACAGCAACAGCAGCAGGACCUGGCCAUCGAUAGUAGAGCAAUUUUCCCCAUCGGAGAUCCCGUGCUUCACGCACAUUGAAGAAUCCUCCUCAGCCACAUAUCUGUGUCAUCAAGGGCAAGGAGGUAUUCAUCAAUGUACUCAGUCGGAUUUGAAUCGUCAAUCCAGACAACCCGGAUGCACCGAUUCCAUUAUAUACCUUAUGUUUAUUAUACAUGGAUUUUUAUUAUUAUUUUUUCAAUAAAAUGAUUAAAAUCGA